CAUAGGUGCUCCUACUGUGGCACCGGCAGCAGAUGUUUUUGGGCCAGGUAGACAUGCAACAUCUGUGGCUGCAGAGCCAGGAAACCGAAAGAAGAUCUUCAAGCUCGCUGUGCCUUUCCGGUGCUCCCUGGAGGCAGAGAUGGCCCGAAUAACGAUGGACGAUGAAAAUGACCAGCAGGCCGUUCAAAGGGAGAUCAAAAUCAAGGGCACCGUGCUCUCUGUCAAAUGGGCUGCUGACGACUUUGAUCUGCUCCGAGUUUCCGUCAACACCUUCCUGGAAAAGCUUUCGCUGGUGAUGCAGAACAUUCAGUGCAUUUGGCCUUUUAUUCCAAGGAGAGUCAGCCGGGAAAGGAGGGCUGGGGCC